rnacentral:lncRNA from 1 species
CUAAACCAUAUAUAUUCUUGUAGUGGACAAUAAAACAAAUGAAAUGAAAUAAAAGGGUUUGAAAACUUGUAAACGGUCAACAUCCCCACCCAUAAACCAUAUAUAUUCUUGUAGGGGUCAAUAAAACAAAUGAAAUGAAAUAAAAGAGAAGUCCCUAGGGGGUCACCCCACCCCCUCUUGUUUGAAAACUUGUAAACGGUCAACAUCCCCACCC